CUACGGGCCGCAGCAGUGGGGAAUCUUGGACAAUGGGCGCAAGCCUGAUCCAGCCAUGCCGCGUGAGUGAUGAAGGCCUUAGGGUCGUAAAGCUCUUUCGCCAGAGAUGAUAAUGACAGUAUCUGGUAAAGAAACCCCGGCUAACUCCGUGCCAGCAGCCGCGGUAAUACGGAGGGGGUUAGCGUUGUUCGGAAUUACUGGGCGUAAAGCGCGCGUAGGCGGACUAGUCAGUCAGGGGUGAAAUCCCGGGGCUCAACCCCGGAACUGCCUUUGAUACUGCUAGUCUAGGGUUCGAGAGAGGUGAGUGGAAUUCCGAGUGUAGAGGUGAAAUUCGUAGAUAUUCAGAGGAACACCAGUGGCGAAGGCGGCUCACUGGCUCGAUACUGACGCUGAGGUGCGAAAGUGUGGGGAGCAAACAGGAUUAGAUACCCUGGUAGUC
rnacentral:rRNA from 1 species